rnacentral:tRNA from 1 species
GGGCCAGUGGCGCAAUGGAUAAUGCGUCUGACUACGGAUCAGAAGGUUCUAGGUUCGACUCCUGGCUGGCUCG